CUUCAUUCCUACAAAAAAAUGUUUAAAAAUUAGCUGGGCAUAGUGGUGUAUGCCUGUAGUCCCAGCUACUUGGGAGGCUGAGGUGGGAGGAUCACUUGAGCCCAGGAGGUUGAGGCUGCACUGAGCUGUGAUUGCACCACUGCACUCCAACCUGGGUAACAGAGCGAGACCUUGUCUCAAAACAAAAAACCCACAAAACUAUGGCUACCAUAUAGUAACUGAUCAAUAAGUUUGUUGCUGUUAUCUGGCUCUGAUUCUUUGGGAGUGUAAGAUCUAUCCUUUUUUCAGGAAGAGAAACAAGCUGUUCAUUGGCUAAUGGGAAAUGGCAAAUAGAUUAUGUCAUGUGUAUCUUUUUUUUUUUUGAGUCUCACUCUGUCCUCCAGGCUGGAGUGCAGUGGCAUGAUCUCGGCUCACUUCAGCCUCCCCCUCCUGGGUUCAAAUGAUUCUCAUGCCUCAGUCUCCCAAGUAGCUGGGACUACAAGCAUGUGCCACCAUGCCUGGCUAAUUUUUGUAUUUUUAGUAGAGACAGGUUUUCGCCUUGUUGGCUAGGCUGGUCUCGAUCUCCUGUCCUCAGGUGAUCCUCCCGCCUUGGCCUCCCAAAGUGCUGGGAUUACAGAUGUGAGCCACCAUGCCCAGCCUAUCAUGUGUAUCGACUUUGAUUGGUAGUUGCUUGUAGUGCUGGAGAAGGAUUCUGAGGUUCAUUGGAAGUGAGUGCCAGGAAUGAUUAGUAACAUCUGCCAUGGAUACAAUGGAAGAAUGGCAGUAUAUCUAUGUCUAUGUAUUUGCUGUGUGUAGGUGAGGUCUUUGUCUUUGGUAACUAGUUCAGCACUCAAAGUGGGGACACUCAGGUUGCUGUCAUCCUUUUACAGGGUUUUAAUCUCUUGGGAAGGGCCAUUGGUCACUCACUGCAUCCUAGCAACUCCCAUCCAUGUCCAGCUGCCCUCCACUAUUAGAGAGGUGGUCCCUCAGACCCCCAGACCCCCUCUUUCUUAUUCCAUCCAAUAUAUUCAGCACAUAGUUAUUGUUUCUUACUCUCGGCUGGGCACCAGGAACAUGGAUGGAUGAAACAAGGUUCCUGUUGUCAGGGAAACCUGAUUUUAGUUACAGCUACUGGGGAAACCAGAGUUUGUGCCAUGGGAAAGUUCCAGCAUGCCCAUGGGAGUGUAGAUGAUGAUCCAGUUUAUUAUGCCUGGUAGGAUCUAGAGAGGCUUCCUAGUGGGGCAGUCUAGCAGGGCCACGAAAGAAAAGUAGAAUUUUUUUUAGCAGGCAGAGAUGAAACAAAGAGGCUUUGGGGUGAGAGCCUAGUGGUCUGAGUGCAGGAUCUCAAAAUUGCUAAACUGUUUGAAGUCAAAGGCAGAGUGGGGGAAAGAGAAGAAGCUACCAGUGUGGACCAUGCCAAGCUUAGGAUACUAGUUGAGGAUUCUAGGUUCUACCUUAUUGGUGAUGAAAAACCUACAGAUCCCUCCCAGCAUGCUCUACCCUAGCCCCUCUGCAAA
rnacentral:lncRNA from 10 species